UGCAGUAGUAUUCAGGUAAAGAUCCGGUCACCCCUUGUUCUGUAGUACUGUAUAGCAGAAGUCAGUUAUACGGAGUACUAUACUUUCAUUGAUACCUAUUACAAAUUUACAAUGAUAUACUCGUGCUGUACGUGAUGUCAUAAAACACCGCGUCAAGUUUCUACCGUGUUCUAAUUAAAAAGACCACGCUUCGGUUGUUGUGAAGACAGUGAAACAACAGAUGCUGAGGUCUUCUAUUCUUCUUCUUUUUUUACAUGAAUGCUGAGGUCCUGGGGAGCUGGAUUAGUACUGCUGGGCGAGCUCUUUCGCUCACCGCGUGGUCACAUCCUACAAGCAGAGUAGCAAGGCCAAGCAGAGCGUGAGUGCAGUGAGAAGGAGAACCAAGGUGACAAGAUAAGCAAGAUACAAUGGAGGCCCCUGGCAACGUCCGGUUUAAUUACCUCCCAGCUGCAGUUACAAUGACUCCAUGGCUACGGUGAUUCGGAGGUGCUGUUUCGAGCUAGGCUCAAGGCAAGACAUCAAUUUGUCCAUCUCGGAAGAGGAUGAAAAAUUCCCCUCGGGCCGUUUGUACUCUUAUUAUUAAUCUUCAUCAAGGGGUGUUCUUUUAAAGCUUGGACUUGCUUAAUACAUAGCUUGUGACCUUGAAAAAAGAUGAAGAAAGGAUCAAAGUACCAAAUCCACAUUGAGGAGUACCCCCCUCUGUGAAGUAAAUCCACAUUUAGUGAGUACAUGAAAUCCGGUCAAGCACAAGUCUUCUUUUCUGAACUUUAAGGGGCUGCAGAGGGGCUGCUAAAAGGAUGGGCUCGCGUUUUGAAACCUGCAAGCUGCGGGAUGAGCAACACUACAGGAAUUUGGAGCAUGAAAAGCAGUAUUUCUUGAUGCUUAUAUUGGGCGAUUUCCAAGAUGCGAUGAUAAUCCCAAAAGAUGUUGUGCCGCAGUUCAAAGGCGAGAUCCCAGGAGAGAUCAAGCUAGAAACUCGAAAUGGUUACAGUCACACUAUUGUGGUUGCCAAGAACCAAGAAAAGCAUGUCCUUACUGUUAGAAAUAUGCCCUAGAGGCAAUAAUAAAUUGGUUAUUAUCAUAUUUCCUUGUUCAUGAUAA